rnacentral:tRNA from 1 species
GCCUGGUUGGCUCAGUGGUUGUGUGUCUGACUUCUGCUCAGGGAGUGAUCCCAAGUCUGGGGAUCGAGUCCCCAGUCAGGCU